UGGAAAUGAGGAAAAUAAUGCAAGUCUUAAUUCUAAUGAAGACUUCUAAUCCAACUCUGAUCCUGCUGGCAUG